rnacentral:rRNA from 1 species
AACGCGAAGAACCUUACCCAGGCUUGAGAUAUAGUAGACAGUACCAGAGAUGGUAUCUUCCUUCGGGACUGCUAUACAGGUGCUGCAUGGCUGUCGUCAGCUCGUGCCGUGAGGUGUUGGGUUAAGUCCCGCAACGAGCGCAACCCUUAUCAUUAGUUGCCAACACGUAAAGGUGGGAACUCUAAUGAGACUGCCCGGGUUAACCGGGAGGAAGGUGAGGAUGACGUCAAGUCCGCAUGGCCCUUAUGCUUGGGGCUACACACGUGCUACAAUGGUCGGUACAGAAGGUAGCGAGACCGAGAGGUGGAGCAAAUCCGAAAAGCCGAUCCCAGUUCAGAUUGUAGUCUGCAACUCGACUACAUGAAGAUGGAAUUGCUAGUAAUGGCGAGUCAGCAACAUCGCCGUGAAUACGUUCCCGGGUCUUGUACACACGC